GUCGAGGAUUUUUCUCAAUGGGGGAAACCCUGAAGGAGCGACGCCGCGUGGGGGAUGAAGGUCUUCGGAUUGUAAACCCCUGUCAUCUGGGAUCAAUGCGUACCACCUAACACGUGGUACGUUGCUAGUACCAGAAGAGGAAGCAGUGGCUAACUCUGUGCCAGCAGCCGCGGUAAUACAGAGACUGCAAGCGUUGUUCGGAUUCAUUGGGCGUAAAGGGUGCGCAGGCGGUGCGGUAAGUCGGAUGUGAAAUCUCGAGGCUUAACCUCGAUGGGUCAUUCGAAACUACCGUGCUCGAGGACUGGAGAGGAGACUGGAAUGGUUGGUGUAGCAGUGAAAUGCGUAGAGAUCAACCAGAACACCAGUGGCGAAGGCGGGUCUCUGGACAGUUCCUGACGCUGAGGCACGAAAGCCAGGGGAGCAAACGGGAUUAGAUACCCCUGUAGUCC
rnacentral:rRNA from 1 species